rnacentral:rRNA from 1 species
UAAUCUGCCCUGCACUCUGGGAUAAGCCUGGGAAACUGGGUCUAAUACCGGAUAGGACCAUGCUUUAGUGUGUGUGGUGGAAAGUUUUUCGGUGUAGGAUGAGCCCGCGGCCUAUCAGCUUGUUGGUGGGGUAAUGGCCUACCAAGGCGGCGACGGGUAGCCGGCUGAGAGGUUGGUCGGCCACAUUGGGACUGAGAUACGGCCCAG